AUGUCUCAAGUCUCAACCCUGAUGGCUUUACCGGCUUAUUGGCCGUUUAGGGCCGCUGAGAUCUUACCCUCGAGAUUUGUGGCCGGGCAGUCUUUGGUGCUUGGCACCGAGAUGAUCGCUCGGUGGGGGAAAUAUCUUCUCAAGGAGAUGCGCACCUAUCUUCCGAACUUGCAGGGAUUCGAGAUUCGAUGGACUGGUCGUGAUGCUAACGUUGCUGCCAAAGAGUCUUUGGUGAUCCACACUAGUACAAUUGAUUUUCCAGUAAUUCCUGAUGUUCUGGUUGACAUUGUACAAUCAGACUUAGUCCGCCAAAAUGAAUAA
rnacentral:rRNA from 1 species